AACUGUACCAUAGAAAAUUCAGUUAUAUUUCCAAAGUCUGGUGUCGCUUUCCUGGUAAUAUCUUUAAGUAGUUGCACUAUUGGCCAGUUUGACGUAAAGCAUGACGUUCUUCAACUGACUGAAAAAUUUACACAACUUCAUGCCAGAGGUUAUAUUCUAAUGUUGGCGUCUUUGCACAGUGAACGUGAGAUGAGAAUUUGUUCGGAGAUACAAACAAAAUUUUUAGAUACCAAACUACAGAUGAUAGCUAUUCACAGUGUUGAUGAAGGGAUUCAAGCUAUGAUAAACAUUGCAAAGGUAUUGUGUAAGCCGACCUCAGAUGUCAUGUUCAGCAGAUUAGAUAAAUUGGCUCACAAUUUCAGCAUAGACAAUACCACACAGUCUGCUUUUGCACAGCUAGGUCUUAGUGAACA